AUCUCUUGAUGGGGCCAGAUCCGUUGGAAAGGUCUUGUAAUUACCUUUCCAACAAGUACUUGUUUGCUUGAUUUGGACUCCGGAUGCGGCCUGGGUGAUUAAAACAAAUUCGGGUCUCCUGGCAGCUCGGACCCAAAUCGGAUUCAACUUUAAUUCGUGAUAUCUUUCUCUAGCAAGCUCUGAAUCAUAUGCCGUUUGAUUUGUUGGAAAGUACACUUGAAAUCCUUCCCUCUCAGCUGUAUGAAUGCUUGAUUCUUGUUGGCCCUCCCGUUCGCCUCCAUCGUAUCUCAUCUUGACCUUGG
rnacentral:lncRNA from 1 species